UACGGAGGGUGCGAGCGUUGUCCGGAAUCAUUGGGCGUAAAGGGCGCGUAGGUGGCCUGUGCAAGCGUGCGGUGAAAGCUCGGGGCUCAACCCCGAGUCGGCCGUGCGAACUGCUGGGCUCGAGCACUGUAGAGGCAGGCGGAAUUCCGGGUGUAGCGGCGGAAUGCGUAGAGAUCCGGAAGAACACCGGUGGCGAAGGCGGCCUGCUGGGCAGUGGCUGACACUGAGGCGCGACAGCGUGGGGAGCAAACAGG
rnacentral:rRNA from 1 species